UGGGGAAUUUUGGACAAUGGGCGAAAGCCUGAUCCAGCAAUGCCGCGUGUGUGAAGAAGGCCUUCGGGUUGUAAAGCACUUUUGUCCGGAAAGAAAUCCUUGGCUCUAAUACAGUCGGGGGAUGACGGUACCGGAAGAAUAAGCACCGGCUAACUACGUGCCAGCAGCCGCGGUAAUACGUAGGGUGCAAGCGUUAAUCGGAAUUACUGGGCGUAAAGCGUGCGCAGGCGGUUUGCUAAGACCGAUGUGAAAUCCCCGGGCUCAACCUGGGAACUGCAUUGGUGACUGGCAGGCUAGAGUAUGGCAGAGGGGGGUAGAAUUCCACGUGUAGCAGUGAAAUGCGUAGAGAUGUGGAGGAAUACCGAUGGCGAAGGCAGCCCCUGGGCCAAUACUGACGCUCAUGCACGAAAGCGUGGGGAGCAAACAGGAUUAGAUACCCUGGUAGUCCACGCCCUAAACGAUGUCAACUAGUUGUUGGGGAUUCAUUUCCUUAGUAACGUAGCUAACGCGUGAAGUUGACCGCCUGGGGGAGUACGGUCGCAAGAUUAAAACUCAAAUGAAUUGAC
rnacentral:rRNA from 1 species